CAUGCAUAUAUGGAGUUCCAGAGGCCACCUGACAGUAAAUCAAAUUUCCAUAAAUACUAUCUGUAACUCUGUAUUGACUCAAACAGAAAAAUGUGUCGCUCAAGUAGGACUUCAGCUUGAACAAUUUUCAUGUUGUUUC